rnacentral:rRNA from 1 species
UACGAAGGGGGCUAGCGUUGUUCGGAAUUACUGGGCGGAAAGCGCACGUAGGCGGACAUUUAAGUCAGGGGUGAAAUCCCAGAGCUCAACUCUGGAACUGCCUUUGAUACUGGGUGUCUUGAGUAUGGAAGAGGUGAGUGGAAUUCCGAGUGUAGAGGUGAAAUUCGUAGAUAUUCGGAGGAACACCAGUGGCGAAGGCGGCUCACUGGUCCAUUACUGACGCUGAGGUGCGAAAGCGUGGGGAGCAAACAGG